rnacentral:rRNA from 1 species
UACGAAGGGGGCUAGCGUUGUUCGGAGUUACUGGGCGUAAAGGGCGCGUAGGCGGCCCUCCAAGUCGGGCGUGAAAGCCCACGGCUCAACCGUGGAAUUGCGCUCGAGACUGAAGGGCUCGAGGACGGGAGAGGAUGGUGGAAUUCCCAGUGUAGAGGUGAAAUUCGUAGAUAUUGGGAAGAACACCGGUGGCGAAGGCGGCCAUCUGGACCGUAUCUGACGCUGAGACGCGAAAGCGUGGGGAGCGAACAGG